UCCUUGCAACCCCUGGUUCUCUAGGGACAUUCACUGAGAACAAACUUGAAACGUUUGAUAGACUGACACUUAAGUCUCCAAUUGAGACCUUUCAAAAUAAGGAUGCAUUCCCCUCGGACAAGCAUGGUUUAGGUGUGGAAUCACAGACUGGCAAAGGAAUGGGUCCAUGAAUCAGACAGCUUUGAAGACAGAUUCAAGACGGCUACCUACCUGCAGUGUUCACUACAACUCUCAAGAUGUUAGCUGUAAACAUCGGUACCCUAAGCAUGGAGUUAAUGUGCAGGAGGGUUGGGCCUCACUCCCUCAAUGUCAGACCGAAAGAGGAAAUCUUUUGUUCACAGUCUGCUUGAUUAUGAACCAUUCUUUUCCAUCCCUGGGCAUGAAGCUCUCUGUCAAUUGGCACCUUGAUCAUAAGGCGAUCAGAAGGAAAAUCAAUGUCUAUCCAUCUUUCAAGUGGGGAAACCUGUAUUUUUAAAUUCUCUUUUAAAUUGAGUUGACUGGGGCCAUGGAGAAGGAAAGAGCAAAUACGCAAUCCAGGGAAGAGAAGAUAGUGGGAGAGAACUUUGAAGAAAGCAGAAAGCUUCUUGUUUACAUCAAAACAUUUCCUAUCAGUUGCUCUGAUGAGAGAAAAGAAAAACAACAGAGUAUCCAGCAACUAAAUGAAAUUUCAAGGAAGCAAACUAUGUACUUUACAUUAAAAGUUUACCUGAGCAGAGGGGCAGUUCCCUGGCCACUAUGAGGAAAUUAUAAGCUGCCCAUUAAUGCCAGAAGUCAGUCCCCCAUGCAGUGAUGUACUAAUGUAAUAAUAGCAGAAACGCUAGGCCCGGCUGGCAGAGUGGCUCAGGGGCACAAAUGAAAAUGAGUUCAGUCUCAUCCUGUUCUCCUACAGACAUUUAUCCACAUGCUAUACAGGGCCAUAAAGUUGACAAGAUAUCUUAGCCCUCCAGGGAGAAACCUGGGUUUAGAAUCACCGGAGAGGUUAGCCAACAAGGUGAGAGGUGCAUCUGCAGAGCAAUGCAGUGAAACUUAGGAAUUGCCUGUCUCUCUCCCAGCAGGGCUCUUGGGGCUCUCUAAUGAACACCCCUGAUUGACACCACCAGAUACAUUUCAGGGGGCUCCUCUCCUGCCUAGGUCUGAGCCUUAAAAGAAAGAUUUCUGAGGCAGCCCGAGAUAGAUGAAAACAGAAGUUCCAGAAUCAAUCUCUGUAGGAGAGCCGAUCGACAGCUCUAGGUGGUCUUCGCCAGAGGCUUGCAGCUGUGGAGAAAGGAAGAUAGGAUGAGAUGAGACAAGAGGUUACAGGGUCCCUUGGGAGUCUGGGGUUUUCCAGGCAACUUACCAUAAAGUUAUUUACUGAAAACCCCACUUAAAGUCACCUGGGAGGGAGGGAGAGGGCCACAAACCUAUGCCGGAUAACACCUGUGAAAGCUGGAAAUGCAUUAACAUAUCUGGGGAGGGAUCUUGAAGGGCUGGAGGAGUGAUGUGCCAGUGCAGAAUGCUGAUGAAUGCUGAUGAACUCUCUGAAUGACUCAGUCUGUGAGGCUCUCCUGUCCCCUCUGUCCAAUAUUCCCCACCCCCCUACCCCCAAUAGCUGGAAAUUUUGAUGAACACGAAAAAGACCUUUGUACCAGGAGAGCGAGACAGUGGUUGAAUCACAAACACACACACACAGACACGGACACACGGAUACGGACAUGGACACCCACGGACACCCACACAGUAAAUGCACCUCCUGAUAUGACUUGGAAGGAGACUGUCCUGGGAGCCAUCAGAGAGGCAACAAUUCAAAAGGGAGGAGGGCCCAUGAUUCCAGCCCAUCCUAGAGCCUGGCAGAUGUGACUUGGGCAAGUGGCCAAUCCUGCCAAUCUGAGGAAAAAGGGAGGUUCAGGAGGACCAACAUAUUGGCACACUACAAAGUGAGAGAUGCAUCGGAUUUUGAAAUAUUUCACAUCACCAAACAAAAAUGUUUGCUCAGUGCCAGGAAAAGGCUGGCCUGAAUCCCACCCCAACCGCCUCUCCCUCCUUCUGGCUGGAGGCCGACAGAGAGGUGCUUGCAGCUAUCCCUCCUGGCCUCCUCUGGUGCUGAUCGAAGAGAUGGAACACUCUCAGAGAAAUCACCAAUCAGGUCUCAGGUUGCCACCACUCACUAUCUUGGUCUCCCUCCAGAAAAAUGAUAAAGCAGACUGAAAAAGGAGAAAAAUAUUGCAGGAGCAAGAGAGCCCCAUCAGGGUGAUUCCACUCUGCUGCUGGGGAUGGGGUGGUGAGGGCCAUGGAAAGAAAGGCUUUGGCUCUGCAGUGUCCUUAUUCCCAUCUGACUCGUGGCCCUCCACUUGCAUCCCCACUCAAGAUAUAAUCAUUAAACUUUGCUAAUCACUGGUACUAAACUCCUCCUGUUUGUUACACUUGAACUGUAGAGUCCUUGGCUUUUCUGGUAGGCUGGGCAGGCAGCAGUCUUGGAAGUGUAGUGAAACUCCU